AAUUAUCCCAGAGAAUUAAAAUCAGAAACAAUCUGGGAGUUGUGUGAACUGUGAUCACCCCCCCGCCCCCCCGCAAAAAAAAAAAAAAAACCCGAGAGGAUAAACAUUCUUUUUGCCAAGAUUUCUUUGGGAACCCCCUG
rnacentral:lncRNA from 1 species